UACGUAGGUGGCAAGCGUUGUCCGGAUUUAUUGGGUUUAAAGGGUGCGUAGGCGGUCUAUUAAGUCAGUGCUGAAAUAUCCCAGCUUAACCGGGAGGGUGGCAUUGAUACUGAUGGACUUGAGUAAAGUUGAGGUUGGCGGAAUUGACGGUGUAGCGGUGAAAUGCUUAGAUAUCGUCAAGAACACCUAUUGCGAAGGCAGCUAACUAAGCUUAAACUGACGCUGAGGCACGAAAGUGUGGGGAUCAAACAGG
rnacentral:rRNA from 1 species